CCUACGGGAGGCUGCAGUGAGGAAUAUUGGUCAAUGGUCGGGAGACUGAACCAGCCAAGCCGCGUGAGGGAGGAAGGUACAGAGUAUCGUAAACCUCUUUUGUCAGGGAACAAAGGCGGGGACGUGUCCCCGGAUGAGUGUACCUGAAGAAAAAGCAUCGGCUAACUCCGUGCCAGCAGCCGCGGUAAUACGGAGGAUGCGAGCGUUAUCCGGAUUUAUUGGGUUUAAAGGGUGCGUAGGCGGACUGUCAAGUCAGCGGUAAAAUACGGGGGCUCAACCUCCGCCCGCCGUUGAAACUGACGGUCUUGAGUGGGCGAGAAGUAUGCGGAAUGCGUGGUGUAGCGGUGAAAUGCAUAGAUAUCACGCAGAACUCCGAUUGCGAAGGCAGCAUACCGGCGCCCAACUGACGCUGAAGCACGAAAGCGUGGGUAUCGAAC
rnacentral:rRNA from 1 species